rnacentral:sRNA from 12 species
GGUGUGUUUUUCCGAACUGUCACCAUGUGGUGGCGUGCCUGGGACAUCCAGGAUAGGAGGCACACCGCUC